CUACGGGGGGCACCAGUUAGGAAUAUUGGACAAUGGGCGCAAGCCUGAUCCAGCCAUGCCGCGUGAGUGAUGAAGGCCUUCGGGUUGUAAAGCUCUUUAGUCCACGAAUAUGAUGACUGUAGUGGAAGAAUAAGCCCCGGCUAACUUCGUGCCAGCAGCCGCGGUAAUACGAGGGGGGCGAGCGUUAUUCGGAAUCACUGGGCGUAAAGCGUGCGUAGGCGGUUAUGAAAGUUAGGUGUGAAAGCCCAGGGCUCAACCCUGGAAUUGCACUUAAAACUACAUGACUAGAAUUCGGGAGAGGAUAGCGGAAUUUCCAGUGUAGCAGUGAAAUGCGUAGAUAUUGGAAGGAACACCAGUGGCGUAAGCGGCUAUCUGGACCGACAUUGACGCUGAGGCACGAAAGCGUGGGGAUCAAACAGGAUUAGAUACCCUAGUAGUC
rnacentral:rRNA from 1 species